CAGGCGUGAGGUGUACCACAUGCAGCGGGAGCUGCUGAAGGAGCGGACCAGGUGCAGGGCCCUGGAGGAGGAGCUGGAGAACCCCAUGAAUGUGCACCGCUGGAGGAGGCUGGAGGCCAGUGACCCCGGCACAUUUGAGCUGAUUCAGAAGAUCCACACACUGCAGCGCCGGCUCAUCUCCAAGACCGAGGAGGUGGUGGAGAAGGAGCUCUUGCUGCAGAAGAAGGAGAAG